UACGGAGGGUGCAAGCGUUAUCCGGAUUCACUGGGUUUAAAGGGUGCGUAGGCGGACAGGUAAGUCAGUGGUGAAAUCUCCGAGCUUAACUCGGAAACUGCCGUUGAUACUAUCUGUCUUGAAUAUCAUGGAGGUAAGCAGAAUAUGUCAUGUAGCGGUGAAAUGCUUAGAUAUGAACAUAGAAUACCGAUAGCGAAGGCAGCUUACUACAUGUUAAUUGACGCUGAGGCACGAAAGCGUGGGGAGCAAACAGG
rnacentral:rRNA from 1 species